rnacentral:rRNA from 1 species
UACGGGGGGGGCAAGCGUUGUUCGGAAUUACUGGGCGUAAAGGGCUCGUAGGUGGCCAACUAAGUCAGACGUGAAAUCCCCCGGCUUACCCGGGGAACUGCAUCCCAUACUGCUGGACUUGAGUGCGGGAGAGGAUGGAGGAAUUCCUGGUGUAGCGGUGAAAUGCGUAGAUAUCAGGAGGAACACCUGUGGCGAAGGCGUCCAUCUGGCCCGUUACUGACGCUGAGGCGCGAAAGCUAGGGGAGCGAACGGG